rnacentral:rRNA from 1 species
UACGAAGGGGGCUAGCGUUGCUCGGAAUCACUGGGCGUAAAGCGCACGUAGGCGGAUUGCUAAGUCAGGGGUGAAAUCCUGGAGCUCAACUCCAGAACUGCCUUUGAUACUGAGAGCUUGAGUCCGGGAGAGGUGAGUGGAACUGCGAGUGUAGAGGUGAAAUUCGUAGAUAUUCGCAAGAACACCAGUGGCGAAGGCGGCUCACUGGCCCGAUACUGACGCUGAGGCACGAAAGCGUGGGGAGCAAACAGG